CUCCACCCUCAGCUCACUCUCCUGCUGGUCCUGGAGGAUAAGCUCCAUCGACAGCUCAGCUACGACCUGCUGCCAACCGACUGCCCCGGGGACCUGGCCGCUGAGUUGGUGCACUACGGAUUCAUCCGCCUGGAUGACUGUGAGAAGCUGACCACACUGCUGGAGAGCGCGUUCCAUCGGCACCAGCCGGCCCCCUCCUGAGCUGCCCCCGCCAGCAAGGAGACCUGGGGCAGGCGGCAGGAGUGGGGAGGUGGGAGGUUCCACCUGCUGCUCACCCUCUCUGCUUGGCAAGGGGCGCAGGAGGCGGGAGGCCUGGCACCCCUCAAGGAGGGGCCAGCGGCCCUUGGCGUGGGAGGCCAGCGACAGUCGAGGCCGGGGCGGCUU